rnacentral:rRNA from 1 species
AUUAACAGGAUUAGAUACCCUGGUAGUCCACGCCGUAAACGAUGAGUGCUAAGUGUUAGGGGGUUUCCGCCCCUUAGUGCUGCAGCUAACGCAUUAAGCACUCCGCCUGGGGAGUACGGCCGCAAGGCUGAAACUCAAAGGAAUUGACGGGGGCCCGCACAAGCGGUGGAGCAUGUGGUUUAAUUCGAAGCAACGCGAAGAACCUUACCAGGUCUUGACAUCCCGCUGACCGCCUAGGAGACUAGGCUUUCCCUUCGGGGACAGCGGUGACAGGUGGUGCAUGGUUGUCGUCAGCUCGUGUCGUGAGAUGUUGGGUUAAGUCCCGCAACGAGCGCAACCCUUGAUCUUAGUUGCCAGCAUUCAGUUGGGCACUCUAAGGUGACUGCCGGUGACAAACCGGAGGAAGGUGGGGAUGACGUCAAAUCAUCAUGCCCCUUAUGACCUGGGCUACACACGUGCUACAAUGGACGGUACAAAGGGCAGCCAACCCGCGAGGGGGAGCCAAUCCCAGAAAACCGUUCUCAGUUCGGAUUGCAGGCUGCAACUCGCCUGCAUGAAGCCGGAAUCGCUAGUAAUCGUGGAUCAGCAUGCCACGGUGAAUACGUUCCCGGGCCUUGUACACACCGCCCGUCACACCACGAGAGUUUGUAACACCCGAAGUCGGUGAGGUAACCACUUGUGGAGCCAGCCGCCGAAGGUGGGACAGAUGAUUGGGGUGAAGUCGUAACAA